GUGCACCAGUCGCGAACCUCCGCAAUACACGAAAGUGUGACGGGGCCAUCCGAGUGCCGUCCGCUGAGGACGGCUUUCCCCAGUGUACAUAGCUGGGGAAGUAAGGAGAGGGCAAGCCUGGUGUCAGCCGCCGCGGUAAUACCAGCUCUCCGAGUGGUGGGGACGGCUUAUUGGGCCUAAAGCAUCCGUAGCCGGCUGGGCAAGUCCUCCGUUAAAUCCAACGAUUCAAUCGUUGGGCUGCGGGGGAGUACUGUCCAGCUUGGGGGCGGGGAGAGGCCGACGGUAUUCCCGGGGUAGGGGUGAAAUCCUAUAAUCCCGGGAGGACCACCAGUGGCGAAGGCUGUCGGCUAGAACGCGCCCGACGGUGAGGGAUGAAAGCUGGGGGAGCGAACCGGAUUAGAUACCCGGGUAGU
rnacentral:rRNA from 1 species